rnacentral:rRNA from 1 species
ACGAACAGACGGAAACGAACUGCUAAUACCGAAUAAGUUCCAAGAGCCGCAUGGCCCAUGGAAGAAAAAGGUAGGCCUCUACCUGUAAGCUAUCGCCUGAAGAGGGGUUUGCGUCUGAUUAGCUGGUUGGAGGGGGUAACGGGCCCACCAAGGCGACGAUCAGUAGCCGGUCUGAGAGGAUGAACGGCCACACUGGAACUGAGACACGGUCCAGACUCCUACGGGAGGCAGCAUG